rnacentral:rRNA from 1 species
AAAUGAAUUGACGGGGGCCCGCACAAGCGGAGGAACAUGUGGUUUAAUUCGAUGAUACGCGAGGAACCUUACCCGGGCUCGAACGGCUUUUGAAUGCCUGUGAAAACAGUCAGUCAGAAAUGACAAAAGUCGAGGUGCUGCAUGGUUGUCGUCAGCUCGUGCCGUGAGGUGUCGGCUUAAGUGCCAUAACGAGCGCAACCCUUACCGUUAGUUACCAGCAUGUCGUGAUGGGAACUCUGACGGGACUGCCACCGUAAGGUGCGAGGAAGGUGGGGAUGACGUCAAAUCAGCACGGCCCUUACGUCCGGGGCGACACACGUGUUACAAUGGGGGGGACAAAGGGCUGCUACUUAGCGAUAAGAUGCCAAUCUCCAAACCCUCUCCCAGUUCGGAUCGAAGUCUGCAACCCGACUUCGUGAAGCUGGAUUCGCUAGUAAUCGCGCAUCAGCCAUGGCGCGGUGAAUACGUUCCCGGGCCUUGUACACACCGCCCGU